CCAGGCUCUUUCCUCUACGCUCCUAGGAGCGUAGAGGAAAGAGUCUGGGA
rnacentral:miRNA from 1 species